rnacentral:rRNA from 1 species
CGGACGGGUGAGUAAUGUCUGGGAAACUGCCUGAUGGAGGGGGAUAACUACUGGAAACGGUAGCUAAUACCGCAUAACGUCGCAAGACCAAAGAGGGGGACCUUCGGGCCUCUUGCCAUCAGAUGUGCCCAGAUGGGAUUAGCUAGUAGGUGGGGUAACGGCUCACCUAGGCGACGAUCCCUAGCUGGUCUGAGAGGAUGACCAGCCACACUGGAACUGAGACACGGCCCAGACUCCUACGGGAGGCAGCAUG